rnacentral:rRNA from 1 species
UACUAGAGUAGCACUCGCAUAUCAAUAAGCGGAGGAAAAGAAACUAACAAGGAUUCCCUUAGUAACGGCGAGUGAAGCGGGAAGAGCUCAAAUUUGAAAUCUUCAAGGUUCUACCUUGACGAAUUGUAGUUUAUAGAAGUGUUUUCUGUUAGUAGAGUGGCAAAAGUUCUUUGGAAUAGGACAUCAUAGAGGGUGAGAAUCCCGUAUUUGGUCAUUCUUUCUAGCUUUGUGAUACACUUUCAACGAGUCGGAUUGUUUGGGAAUGCAGUCCAAAAUGGGUGGUAAAUUUCAUCUAAAGCUAAAUAUUGGCGAGAGACCGAUAGCGAACAAGUACCGUGAGGGAAAGAUGAAAAGAACUUUGAAAAGAGAGUUAAACAGUACGUGAAAUUGUCAAAAGGGAAGCGUUUGACACCAGUGUUGUUUUUCCGAAAACCAAUUACGAAUGUUUUGUAUUUGAGAAGUUAUGACUUCAUCGGCUUGCUUCUUUCUUUACGAAACUUUCUUAAUGCACUUUUCGGUUAACAAGUCAACAUCAAUUUCUUUUGUUGUAAAAGGGUAUGAGGAAGGUGGCUUUCUUUUCGGAGAAAGUGUUUAUAGCCUUGUGCCUCUGCAAUCGGAGAGAUUGAGGUCUGCAGCGUAGAUCCUUCGGGGUUAGAUACGUUUGUGCUAAGUCAUAGCUUUUCAUAGACAACUUGUUGACUAUGUUAAGUCUUGUAGCUUACUCGCUUAUGCUAUUUUACCUACGCUUAGGAUGUUGAAGAUGUAGCACAUCAU